rnacentral:misc_RNA from 1 species
AGAUAUUUUCGCCACCUGCUUAGAUAUCUCGGUUUGCGUCAAUAUGAGUUAGACUCAAUUGAAAUGGAUUACGCGGAAAAUACAAAAGAGAAGAUUUUCGUGUCUCUUCAGAAAUUAACAAGUCAAAAAGUAGUGACUCGAAUCGAUUUGUGCAGUGCGAUCGAAUAUGCAAGUCAAAAUAGACUGUUUAUUAAAACACUUAAUUUAGAAUGGGAACCAACGUAAUGAUUUCUAUUUUUUAUAUACAGAUAUUAUAGAUUUGAUGGGAACAAUUACUUUGUUGGGACAGUUCAGCAAUAUUUUUUUGCCAGUACUGAAAAGCUCUAAACUUAGUAUUUUCGCUGUAACUUGAGCAGAGUCCAUUGGAUAUUGCACCGAACAUUUUUAGAUCUUCUGUUAAAAAUCUUUUCAGAUAUGAUUGAAUAAUAAGCAGUAAAAUAUCUAAAAAAGUUAAAGCAAACAGACAAAUUAAAGUAAAAAAAACCAACAACAUAAUUCCGAAUUAAUUCAAACAUUUCAGUUAUUUUUUUUAAACGUGUACGUUAUCACUAGAAGUAAAAAGUAUUUUU